UGAGAAGCAGUAACUUGGACAGACAAUGA
rnacentral:piRNA from 1 species